rnacentral:rRNA from 1 species
UACGUAGGGUGCAAGCGUUGUCCGGAAUUAUUGGGCGUAAAGAGCUCGUAGGCGGCUUGUCGCGUCGGCUGUGAAAACCUGGGGCUCAACCCCGGGCCUGCAGCCGAUACGGGCAAGCUAGAAUUCGGUAGGGGAGACUGGAAUUCCUGGUGUAGCGGUGAAAUGCGCAGAUAUCAGGAGGAACACCGGUGGCGAAGGCGGGUCUUUGGGCCGAAAUUGACGCUGAGGAGCGAAAGCGUGGGGAGCGAACAGG